GAUGAACGCUGGCGGCGUGCCUAAUACAUGCAAGUCGAGCGAACAGAUGAGGAGCUUGCUCCUCUGACGUUAGCGGCGGACGGGUGAGUAACACGUGGAUAACCUACCUAUAAGACUGGGAUAACUUCAGGAAACCGGAGCUAAUACCGGAUAAUAUAUUGAACCGCAUGGUUCAAUAGUGAAAGACGGUUUUGCUGUCACUUAUAGAUGGAUCCGCGCCGCAUUAGCUAGUUGGUAAGGUAACGGCUUACCAAGGCAACGAUGCGUAGCCGACCUGAGAGGGUGAUCGGCCACACUGGAACUGAGACACGGUCCAGACUCCUACGGGAGGCAGCAGUAGGGAAUCUUCCGCAAUGGGCGAAAGCCUGACGGAGCAACGCCGCGUGAGUGAUGAAGGUCUUCGGAUCGUAAAACUCUGUUAUUAGGGAAGAACAAAUGUGUAAGUAACUAUGCACGUCCUGACGGUACCUAAUCAGAAAGCCACGGCUAACUACGU
rnacentral:rRNA from 1 species